rnacentral:rRNA from 1 species
GACGAACGCUGGCGGCGUGCUUAACACAUGCAAGUCGAACGGAAAGGCCCUGCUUUUGUGGGGUGCUCGAGUGGCGAACGGGUGAGUAACACGUGAGUAACCUGCCCUUGACUUUGGGAUAACUUCAGGAAACUGGGGCUAAUACCGGAUAGGAGCUCCUGCUGCAUGGUGGGGGUUGGAAAGUUUCGGCGGUUGGGGAUGGACUCGCGGCUUAUCAGCUUGUUGGUGGGGUAGUGGCUUACCAAGGCUUUGACGGGUAGCCGGCCUGAGAGGGUGACCGGCCACAUUGGGACUGAGAUACGGCCCAGACUCCUACGGGAGGCAGCAGUGGGGAAUAUUGCACAAUGGGCGGAAGCCUGAUGCAGCAACGCCGCGUGCGGGAUGACGGCCUUCGGGUUGUAAACCGCUUUCGCCUGUGACGAAGCGUGAGUGACGGUAAUGGGUAAAGAAGCACCGGCUAACUACGUGCCAGCAGCCGCGGUGAUACGUAGGGUGCGAGCGUUGUCCGGAUUUAUUGGGCGUAAAGGGCUCGUAGGUGGUUGAUCGCGUCGGAAGUGUAAUCUUGGGGCUUAACCCUGAGCGUGCUUUCGAUACGGGUUGACUUGAGGAAGGUAGGGGAGAAUGGAAUUCCUGGUGGAGCGGUGGAAUGCGCAGAUAUCAGGAGGAACACCAGUGGCGAAGGCGGUUCUCUGGGCCUUUCCUGACGCUGAGGAGCGAAAGCGUGGGAGCGAACAGGCUUAGAUACCCUGGUAGUCCACGCUGUAAACGGUGGGUACUAGGCGUGGGGUCCAUUCCACGGGUUCCGUGCCGUAGCUAACGCUUUAAGUACCCCGCCUGGGGAGUACGGCCGCAAGGCUAAAACUCAAAGGAAUUGACGGGGCCCCGCACAAGCGGCGGAGCAUGCGGAUUAAUUCGAUGCAACGCGUAGAACCUUACCUGGGUUUGACAUGGAUCGGGAGCGCUCAGAGAUGGGUGUGCCUCUUUUGGGGUCGGUUCACAGGUGGUGCAUGGCUGUCGUCAGCUCGUGUCGUGAGAUGUUGGGUUAAGUCCCGCAACGAGCGCAACCCUUGUUCACUGUUGCCAGCACGUUAUGGUGGGGACUCAGUGGAGACCGCCGGGGUCAACUCGGAGGAAGGUGGGGAUGACGUCAAGUCAUCAUGCCCCUUAUGUCCAGGGCUUCACGCAUGCUACAAUGGCUGGUACAGAGAGUGGCGAGCCUGUGAGGGUGAGCGAAUCUCGGAAAGCCGGUCUCAGUUCGGAUUGGGGUCUGCAACUCGACCUCAUGAAGUCGGAGUCGCUAGUAAUCGCAGAUCAGCAACGCUGCGGUGAAUACGUUCCCGGG